rnacentral:misc_RNA from 1 species
UCUCGGCUUAUCACCGGUAGUCCCCCUAGAGUGCCCAACUAAAUGAUGGCAACUAAGGGCGAGGGUUGCGCUCGUUGCGGGACUUAACCCAACAUCUCACGACACGAGCUGACGACAGCCAUGCACCACCCGUAUACCGACCACAAGGGGGGCCGUAUCUCUACGGCUUUCCGGUAUAUGUCAAACCCAGGUAAGGUGGGGAUGACGUCGGAGGAAUUCCA